rnacentral:rRNA from 1 species
GAUGAACGCUGGCGGCGUGCCUAAUACAUGCAAGUCGAACGCUGGAGAUCUAGCUUGCUAGCUCGAAGGAGUGGCGAACGGGUGAGUAAUACAUAAGCAACCUACCCACGAAGACUGGGAUAAUCUCUGGAAACGGGGACUAAUACCGGAUAGGUAAUCGGAAGGCAUCUUCUGGUUAUUAAAGGUUAAAAACACUGGUGGAUGGGCUUAUGGCGCAUUAGUUAGUUGGUGAGGUAACGGCCCACCAAGACGAUGAUGCGUAGCCGGCCUGAGAGGGUGAACGGCCACAUUGGGACUGAGACACGGCCCAGACUCCUACGGGAGGCAGCAGUAGGGAAUUUUCGGCAAUGGGGGCAACCCUGACCGAGCAACGCCGCGUGAGUGAAGACGGCCUUCGGGGUGUAAAGCUCUGUUGUAAGGGAAGAACGGUAGAUAGAGAAUAUCUAAGUGACGGUACCUUACCAGAAAGCCACGGCUAACUACGUG